rnacentral:snRNA from 1 species
ACUAUGAUCACUAUGGUAGCACAGACUAAGACUGAAGCAAUGCAGAGAAGACUGGCAUGUUCCCUGUGCACGGAUGGCAUAUUAAGCCGUGAAGCAGUCCAUACUAAA